rnacentral:rRNA from 1 species
AUGGAAGUGCUUUUCCGAAUAGGGCGGAGCGGCCCUGGAGCACCUAGGAACCGGAAAGAGAAGCGGCAGCUCCAGGGCUUGAGAGAUGAGCUUGACGCUUCAUUGGAGGAGGAGCUUCAACGGCGGCCAGAAGUAAGGAUCAUCAACAAGUAUGCAGUCGUCAUGGCGUACAUCCGAAUGGGCAUGAAAGGCGUGGGUGCGCUGGCUCUCUUGUGGGCCACCGUGGUCCUUCUUGGCGGCUUCGUCUCCGAUCUGAGGAAGAUAGAUUUCUGGUAUCUGACCAUGAUUGCAUUCGUGCAGGCUGCCGGGUUAGUAAUUAUAUUCAGCUCUCUCUUGUAUGCAAAAUUCCUGAGAAAGGUAUAG